AGAGCGAACGCUGGCGGCAGGCCUAACACAUGCAAGUCGAACGGACUCUUCGGAGUUAGUGGCGGACGGGUGAGUAACACGUGGGAACGUGCCUUUUGGUUCGGAAUAAGCUCGGGAAACUGGGUCUAAUACCGAAUGUGCCCUUCGGGGGAAAGAUUUAUCGCC
rnacentral:rRNA from 1 species